GGAUUGCCCUAGUAACGGCGAGUGAAGCGGCAACAGCUCAAAUUUGAAAGCUGGCCUUCGGGUCCGCAUUGUAAUUUGUAGAGGAUGCUUUGGGUGAAACGCCAGUCUAAGUUCCUUGGAACAGGACGUCAUAGAGGGUGAGAAUCCCGUAUGUGACUGGAAAUGUUAACCUAUGUAAAGCUCCUUCGACGAGUCGAGUUGUUUGGGAAUGCAGCUCUAAAUGGGAGGUAAAUUUCUUCUAAAGCUAAAUAUUGGCGAGAGACCGAUAGCGCACAAGUAGAGUGAUCGAAAGAUGAAAAGCACUUUGGAAAGAGAGUUAAAAAGCACGUGAAAUUGUUGAAAGGGAAGCGCUUGCAAUCAGACUUGUUUAAACUGUUCGGCCGGUCUUCUGACCGGUUUACUCAGUUUGGACAGGCCAGCAUCAGUUUCGGCGGCCGGAUAAAGGCUCUGGGAAUGUGGCCUUCACUUCGGUGAAGGUGUUAUAGCCCAGGGUGUAAUACGGCCAGCCGGGACUGAGGUCCGCGCUUCGGCUAGGAUGCUGGCGUAAUGGUUGUAAGCGACCCGUCUUGAA
rnacentral:rRNA from 1 species